GAUGAACGCUGGCUACAGGCUUAACACAUGCAAGUCGAGGAGAAACGACGGGGAAGCUUGCUUCCCCGGGCGUCGACCGGCGCACGGGUGAGUAACGCGUAUCCAACCUGCCUCUGACUGAGGGAUAACCCGUCGAAAGUCGGCCUAAUACCUCAUGGCAUCGUCUGCGGGCAUCCAACGACGAUUAAAGAUUUCAUCGGUCAGGGAUGGGGAUGCGUCUGAUUAGCUUGUUGGCGGGGUAACGGCCCACCAAGGCUACGAUCAGUAGGGGUUCUGAGAGGAAGGUCCCCCACAUUGGAACUGAGACACGGUCCAAACUCCUACGGGAGGCAGCAGUGAGGAAUAUUGGUCAAUGGGCGGGAGCCUGAACCAGCCAAGUAGCGUGCAGGAUGACGGCCCUAUGGGUUGUAAACUGCUUUUAUGCGGGGAUAAAGUGAGGGACGUGUCCUUCAUUGCAGGUACCGCAUGAAUAAGGACCGGCUAAUUCCGUG
rnacentral:rRNA from 1 species